rnacentral:rRNA from 1 species
UAAGCGUGCGCAGGCGGUUAUGUAAGACAGAUGUGAAAUCCCCGGGCUCAACCUGGGAACUGCAUUAGUGACUGCAUAGCUGGAGUACGGCAGAGGGGGAUGGAAUUCCGCGUGUAGCAGUGAAAUGCGUAGAUAUGCGGAGGAACACCGAUGGCGAAGGCAAUCCCCUGGGCCUGUACUGACGCUCAUGCACGAAAGCGUGGGGAGCAAACAGGAUUAGAUACCCUAGU